CUCCAUCUCUUUCACUAGUAAUCUCCAUUCCAAGCUCCAAGAUCCUCCAUAGAAGUAAGAAGUUGAAGUGCUCUCAAGAAGCUUUGAUCAAGGCCUUUCUCACCAUCAUUUCUUGUCAUCUCAUCCUAAGAUUACAACCCUAGCCUUGUGCUAGUAGUAGUCGUGUUUGCUGAGGAGAUUUGGGUUACGAGUACCGAAGACGCAAUACUCCCCACACAUGGGCCAGCGUGUGGCUGCAUGUGGUGACUAUGUCGUUCCGCCGGAAGGACCGGAAAUUAAGUAUGGAUCUGGCGGGCGUUGGAAUUUCAAGUCAUGUUAA
rnacentral:lncRNA from 1 species